rnacentral:rRNA from 1 species
CCUACGGGGGGCAGCAGUGAGGAAUAUUGGUCAAUGGACGAGAGUCUGAACCAGCCAAGUAGCGUGAAGGAUGACUGCCCUAUGGGUUGUAAACUUCUUUAGGCGGGGAGCAAUGCCGGGCACGCGUGCCCGGAGGGAGAGUACCCGCAGAAUAAGCAUCGGCUAACUCCGUGCCAGCAGCCGCGGUAAUACGGAGGAUGCGAGCGUUAUCCGGAUGUAUUGGGUUUAAAGGGUGCGUAGGCGGAUUUUUAAGUCAGCGGUAAAAUGUCCGGGCUCAACCCGGGCCGGCCGUUGAAACUGGGGAUCUUGAGUGGGCGAGAAGUAUGCGGAAUGCGUGGUGUAGCGGUGAAAUGCAUAGAUAUCACGCAGAACUCCGAUUGCGAAGGCAGCAUACCGGCGCCCGACUGACGCUGAGGCACGAAAGCGUGGGGAUCGAACAGGAUUAGAUACCCUGGUAGUC